rnacentral:rRNA from 1 species
AUGAAGGCAUACACGGCGGUCGAGGACAAGCUUCUUUCUGAGUGUUGGAGAGACAUUGGGCAAGACCCCAAGGUCGGCGCCGAACAAAAGGCGUCAACCUUUUGGAUUCGUGUCCACCAUGAGUUCCGUGAGCGCAAGAAGUUUCAGCUGUACCAAAUACUAAGAACGCGCGGGUGGGUGUCCGUUUCGAAGCGAUGGAGGGUGAUCCAACAAGAGCGCAACAAGUUUUGGGCCACUCUUGAGAGCGUCAAGGCCCGCCCCGUGAGCGGCAUCUGCAUGCAAGACAUGGUAUGCAAGCGGCCACCCUCUUUUGUGUCAUCCCGUUUAUGGUUGCAUGUCCAUUUCCAUAUCCAUUUUGCCAAUAUGCUUGCAUGCAAUACAUUAGUAGGCCUUCCAAGCUUUGGAGGCAUUCAAAGUCUAACACGACGGCGAGUGCUGAAGGAAAUAUGCCCUAUAGGCAAUAAUAAAGUUGUUAUUUAUAUUUCCUUAUAUCAUGAUAAAUGUUUAUUAUUCAUGCUAGAAUUGUAUUAA